rnacentral:lncRNA from 1 species
UUUUGGACUUGCAACCGAUCAACCAAUGACGUGCAACCAUACAUCAUACAACCCAACAAUAAAAGAAAUAAAAAUUAAUUAUAUUUGAUAACUUUUAUCUCUAACCUAUUGAAACACGCAGGUCUCCAAAUAAAUCGGCUUGUGCACGCAGGCACAAAAAUAGCCCUCUCUAAUGCAAAUUCCUUAAUUUAAAUAAAUUUAAAAUUACAGGAUUCUACAUACACAUCAUACAUCACAUGUCGAAACAAAAAUAUAGGUCGCUAUCGAUGAUCAUCACUGAUAUGCAUCUCAUACAUCACAUUCAUAAUAAUUAACUUUGGAUAACUAAUAACAAUCAAUCUUAUUGAUCGUUAUAAAUUUGAUCAACAAUUUAAUCUACAAAUAUAACAUCUUGAUCUCAUCAAGAAAUCAAUUUGAUCUAAUCAAAUUUGAUCCUCCUCUUUUUUUUCUUUUUAUUUUAAAACGAUCUAAUCAAAUUUUAAAAGUUAAAAAAAUAAAAAAAAUUUUGCCUCCCGUACGGACACUACAGUAGCGUCUGCACGAUGCUACAGUAACAUCCCGUACGACGCUACAGUAGCGUCUGUACGGUGCUACAGUAUUUUUUUUUUUUUUUUGCUUGAAAACAAGAAACCGUUGAUUAAGUUGUUUGAUCAAUUUGGACUUUUCGAAUUAGCCAAAAAUGAUUUAUAAAUCGUUCUACCGGAGAAAAAUAGUUUAAAAUAUCCAAAUUUAUAAUUUUAAUCUUAAAAACAUGAGGAUGUCUCUGAUAUCACUGUUAGAAAAUUGCGUACGGUAAAAACGCAGCGGAAAAAGAAUCAAACAAAUUUGAUUUUGAAAACUUUCGAGAUCCAAUCUCAAAAACACGCAAUUAGGAUCCCUCAUGUUCUUUAAGAUUAAAGGAGAAAAGUAAGAUCGAAUCUUUACCUUUUUCGCGGAUAAAUCUUCACCUCAACUUGAUGAUCGUGGAAUUGGGUUCUCUUAAAGCCACACACAUGUCCGGCCUCUAUUGGUAUCCACACGAGGUUCUUGAUUUGAUCGAUAUCCUUACCGGGGUGCUAGCUCUCUUGCAAAAUGACGUCUUUCUUGCUAGAAUAUGGAAGAGAGAGGAGAGAAGAGAUGACGGCUAGGGUUUUCUAAAAAUUCCCAUAUUAUUAUAUAGAAGAAUAUAAUCCUCUUAUUAAUAAUAUAAUAACCAUUAAGGAUAAGUACAAAUCUAAAUUUAAAUUUCUCCUUUUCUUAAUUGGUUAGAUCGAUCAAAUCCUAAUUUGAUUCGACUUGAACUUUAUAUUAAUUUGAUCAUAUCAAAUUAAUAAUGCAACAUUUGCACAUAAAUCCUCUUAUAAUUUACUAACUAUU